rnacentral:rRNA from 1 species
UACGUAGGGGGCAAGCGUUGUCCGGAGUUACUGGGCGUAAAGCGCACGCAGGCGGUCGAUUAAGUUUGGAGUGACAGUUGGUGGCUUAACUGCCAAAGUGCUUUGAAAACUGAUCGACUUGAGGGCUUCAGAGGGACACGGAAUUCCGGGUGGAGUGGUGAAAUGCGUAGAUAUCCGGAGGAAUACCAAAGGCGAAGGCAGUGUCCUGGCUGGCAACUGACGCUGAGGCGCGAAAGCUAGGGGAGCGAACAGG